rnacentral:rRNA from 1 species
UUCUGGUUGAUCCUGCCGGAGGCUACCGCUAUUGGAGUUCGAUUAAGCCAUGCGAGUCGAGAGUCUUAGGGACUCGGCGUACCGCUCAGUAACACGUGGGUAACCUGCCCUAUGCUGGGGAAUAACCUCGGGAAACUGAGAAUAAUACCCCAUAGUUCACCACGCCUGAACGGUGGGUGGAUGAAAGCUCCGGCGGCAUAGGAUGGGCCUGCGACGUAUCAGGUUGUAGGGGGUGUAACGUACCCUCUAGCCAUCAACGCGUACGGGUGUUGGGAGACAUAGCCCGGAGAUGGAUUCUGAGACACGAAUCCAGACCCUACGGGGUGCAGCAGGCGCGAAAACUUGGCAAUGCGAGCAAUCGUGACCAGGGAACUCCAAGUGGCUGGGGUAAUACCCAGUUUUUUCUUGACUCUUCAAAGGUCUUGGAAUAAGGGGUGGGUAAGGACGGUGCCAGCCGCCGCGGUAAUACCGGCGCCUCAAGUGGUAGUCGCUUUUAUUGGGCCUAAAACGUCCGUAGCCGGUCUGGUGCAUUCGUGGGUAAAUCAACCCGCUCAACGGGUUGAAUUCUGCGAGCACGGCCAGACUUGGGACCGGGAGAGGUGUGGGGUACUCUCAGGGUAGGGGUAAAAUCCUGUCAUCCUGAGAGGACCACCUGUUG